rnacentral:rRNA from 1 species
CCUACGGGAGGCACCAGUAGGGAAUCUUCCACAAUGGACGAAAGUCUGAUGGAGCAACGCCGCGUGAGUGAAGAAGGGUUUCGGCUCGUAAAACUCUGUUGUUAGAGAAGAACGGGUAUAAGAGUAACUGCUUAUAUCGCGACGGUAUCUAACCAGAAAGCCCCGGCUAACUACGUGCCAGCAGCCGCGGUAAUACGUAGGGGGCGAGCGUUGUCCGGAAUUAUUGGGCGUAAAGGGCUCGCAGGCGGUUUCUUAAGUCUGAUGUGAAAGCCCCCGGCUCAACCGGGGAGGGUCAUUGGAAACUGGGGAACUUGAGUGCAGAAGAGGAGAGUGGAAUUCCACGUGUAGCGGUGAAAUGCGUAGAGAUGUGGAGGAACACCAGUGGCGAAGGCGACUCUCUGGUCUGUAACUGACGCUGAGGAGCGAAAGCGUGGGGAGCGAGCAGGAUUAGAUACCCGCGUAGUC